UGUCGUUCCCUAAAGAAAAUAACAAUAGGUUAGGUUCGUAUAGUGUGAUCUAUGGAGUGAUCCACGAUAAUCUUGAGAGACCACGGUAAAUAUAAUAAAGUUUAAAGAUUAUGACAUGAGAGGCAGUUUUGGUUUAUGGAAAAACGGAACAAGAACUUGAAAGUGUCGUCUAAACAAAUUUUGUAGGAAAUGAACCUAAAAUACCAAGAGCCUGAUAAAAAGCGAGGGCCCGUUGACAUCGUCGCACUUAAAAAGCAACCCUCUUCUGAAGACCUUUCAUUUCUAGCUCAUUGACCAAUAUUCCAACUCAAAGUGUUUCUACAAUUCAAGAUCUUGAUAGGAAUCAGGCUGGUGUUCACCACAAUAGUUCUUUUUAAAAAAUUGACACCAGGAACUGUGCUUACAAUCCUGAAAAAAUGGAAGAACGUCUAACAGCUAAGCUCUCACACUUCCAGGGAAAAAGCUGGAUUUAUCUGAUAAGAAAACAAAAACCAAACUAAACGGAAGUUAGAUGAAAUGAAGAAGAAAUUAAAAAGGAAAACUAAGAAGAAGAGGUCCUGAAUUGCCAAACUUGCACGAGCCACCAAGGCAACAUCAGUGUUAUCAGCCUCUGGUCUUUCAGAGUUUGUCGAAACAGAAAUUCCUGAACCAAGACUAGCAAGUACACUGCCAACACCAAUUUUUAACAGUGAAGGCUGCCUAGUUUCCAGCAAAUUUGAUUUUGGAGAACUAUCUAAUUCCUCACCCAUUCUGAAAAAACCCACUUUAGAUCCAGAAGUGGCAACGCUAAAAAAAAAAACUCAAAGCGAAAAUGAAAACUUGGUAGGCCAAGCUGAAGCUGAGAAUACAGGAAGCAUUGAAGAGAAACAGGCAUGAAAUGGUGCUCUGCAAAUAGCUGAAGGUUUUCAGGUAAAAGACUAUGUGGAAUUGCUUGCCAAAUCAAUUAAUGAACGAGAUCAAAUCAAAUCAGAGAGUAACAAAAAUUGCGCUGAACGAAUCGAAGAAAAGGAAAAGAGAAAGGAAUAACAACAGAAAAGGAGAAAAGCCAACAUUAAGAAAAAGAAAACUGAAAAGAAAGACCAUAAAGUGAAUAAACUAAAGAAAAAAGGCAAAUUUAUCGCAUGAAAGGCUGAUACUGACUGAUGGAUCAGCUAAACUUGUAUUCUUUCAUAUGCAGCUAUGUCGUGAUAGUUUUUUUGAAAUAAUAAAAAAAAAGUCCGUCAUGGUAGAAAA